UAUUGAAUUUCUGCUUCUCAUCUUGCAAUGCCUAUAGUCCGAAUCAAGAUGGCCCCUCUCGAUCUUGUGAUGCCUUCGGCCCAAUUCUCAACAGCUAGCUUCAAAACGGCUGCGUGCACUAACGCUAAUAAGCUUUGAAACUCCUUCGUACUUAUUGAAUUCUAAUAUAAGCGCUGGCCUAUUGGGAGCUUUUUAGUCAUGGUGGGAGCUUUCGGAAAAAACUUUGCAGGUCAAGACCAUAGGAAAAGGGGAGAACGCGAGAGAAAAGACCUUAUUUAGAUGGAUUGGUAGCGUAGGUGGCCCUCUAGAAUGGAUUUCGGGCAGUGCUAUCACUUACGGGAAAUGAGGGGGGUCGCAGACUAACCACUUUGGAAGUUCACGGCGGAAAGAACACCAUUCAAAAAUUAGGGGAGACUGAGAGAGUAAAUCGAGGAUGAUGAGUGAUUUGAAGGAGAAAAGGCUUAUGAUGUGAUUAAGGACCUUACAUUUAGACAAGGUUGUCUUAGCGCAUAUGUUAAGCCUAGGCCUACUACUCUUUCUGGGUUGAUAAUGAAGGGAAAAUGAAAUGGAGAUGGAGAUUGUUUGCUAUUUCUUUCAGAACCUUUCCAUGCGAGAAGUUAAAGUUUGAUUUUUCCUCUCUCUUUCAAGCACUGCUGCUCCCCUUCUAGAGAUCAGAGUAGUCCUGGGGAAUCCCCUGUCACUUUGGUACCAGCUGGUUGUAACUUGUACUUAUUCCAUUUUAAUGCAAUUGACUUUGAAGUUGUUUUUCUUACUUUUGUUGUUGUGUUUAAGUUCUCUUCAGUCAGGCAGAGUGGAAUCCUUUUUUGGGAGCUCCCUACAAGCUUGAUUAGAAGUUAGAUUGAGGUCGUGGUGCAAUUAAUUGAACAUCUGAGGUCACCCAAUCUCAAUUAAAGGGAAUUUUUACCUUAGUGUUACAUAUAAUCAAGUACACUCGAGUCCACUGUGACUCUGGCACGCCCGCACUCAUAAACUGAUCCAAAAGACUAGGUACUCAAAACAGCUCGAGCAUCAUUGACCACAACAACUAAUAGGGUGUUAAGAACACCCAACAUUUUAGAAAAACUUGAUUUUGGUAACUA
rnacentral:lncRNA from 1 species